UAGCUUAGUUGGCAGAGCGCAAGGCUCUUAACCUUAAGGUCGUGGGUUCGAGCCCCAC
rnacentral:tRNA from 1 species